rnacentral:rRNA from 1 species
AAUCAACGCUGGCGGCGUGCCUAACACAUGCAAGUCGAACGCGAAAGCCCCGCAAGGGGUAAGUAGAGUGGCGCACGGGUGAGUAACACGUGGAUAACCUGCCUUUGAGUGGGGAAUAACCUUCCGAAAGGAGGGCUAAUACCGCAUAACACCUUUAGACAAAAGUCAAAGGGUUAAAAGGAGCAAUUCGCUCAAAGAGGGGUCCGCGCCUGAUUAGCUAGUUGGUGAGGUAACGGCUCACCAAGGCUCGAUCAGUAGCCGUCCUGAGAGGGAGCACGGCCACACUGGAACUGAGACACGGUCCAGACUCCUACGGGAGGCAGCAGUGGGGAAUUUUUGGCAAUGGGCGAAAGCCUGACCAAGCAACGCCGCGUGGGUGAUGAAGUAUCUUGGUACGUAAAACCCUUUCGGCAGGGACGAACUCAAUGACGGUACCUGCGGAAGAAGCCCCGGCUAACUCCGUGCCAGCAGCCGCCGUAAG